rnacentral:rRNA from 1 species
UACGGGAGGCAGCAGUGGGGAAUAUUGCACAAUGGGCGCAAGCCUGAUGCAGCCAUGCCGCGUGUAUGAAAAAGGCCUUCGGGUUAUAAAGUACUUUCAGUCGUGAGGAAGGUGUUAAGGUUAAUAACCUUAGCAAUUGACGUUAGCGACAGAAGAAGCACCGGCUAACUCCGUGCCAGCAGCCGCGGUAAUACGGAGGGUGCGAGCGUUAAUCGGAAUUACUGGGCGUAAAGGGCACGCAGGCGGUUAAUUAAGUUGGAUGUGAAAUCCCCGGGCUUAACCUGGGAAUGGCAUUCAAGACUGGUUAGCUAGAGUCUUGUAGAGGGGGUAGAAUUCCAUGUGUAGCGGUGAAAUGCGUAGAGAUGUGGAGGAAUACCGGUGGCGAAGGCGGCCCCUGGACAAAGACUGACGCUCAUGUGCGAAAGCGUGGGGAGCAAACAGGGAUUUAGAUACC